rnacentral:rRNA from 1 species
AAUAGAUACCCAGGUAGUCCACGCCGUAAACGAUGAGUGCUAAGUGUUAGGGGGUUUCCGCCCCUUAGUGCUGCAGCUAACGCAUUAAGCACUCCGCCUGGGGAGUACGGUCGCAAGACUGAAACUCAAAGGAAUUGACGGGGGCCCGCACAAGCGGUGGAGCAUGUGGUUUAAUUCGAAGCAACGCGAAGAACCUUACCAGGUCUUGACAUCCCAUUGACCACUAUGGAGACAUAGUUUUCCCUUCGGGGACAACGGUGACAGGUGGUGCAUGGUUGUCGUCAGCUCGUGUCGUGAGAUGUUGGGUUAAGUCCCGCAACGAGCGCAACCCUUGUUCUUAGUUGCCAUCAUUUAGUUGGGCACUCUAAGGAGACUGCCGGUGACAAACCGGAGGAAGGUGGGGAUGACGUCAAAUCAUCAUGCCCCUUAUGACCUGGGCUACACACGUGCUACAAUGGACGGUACAAACGGUUGCCAACCCGCGAGGGGGAGCUAAUCCGUAUAAAAACCCGUUCUCAGUUCGGAUUGUAGGCUGCAACUCGCCUAC